rnacentral:lncRNA from 1 species
AGUACGGAACUAAAAGGCCGGCGCGAACUGCCUGCCUUCCUGCUGCUGCCGCCUCCGCGCUCCUGCUCCGCGCUCCGCCCUCGGUACCGCGAGUCCGCCCCGUCGCCAUGGCUGGGCUUGUGGUCAGUGGAACUCAAGUGUCCUACAUAGGCCAGGACUGCAGAGAGAUUCCAGAGCACCUCGGCAGGGACUAUGGACACUUUGCAAAGAGGCUCGACCUGAGCUUUAACCUUCUGAGAUCAAAGUCAAACGUCCCAGUGGCAUCGCACCCCUAAGGCCUUGACGCUGCUGCACGUGAAUCUCCGGCUCCCCUCUUGGUGCCCUUGAAGACGCAUCAAGCAUAAGCAUCCUGUCUUACGUGUGUCCCUAUGAGAGGGCCGUUGGUGUCCUCUUGUUCUUUUCUCACUGAUGCCCUUGCGGACAAGUGGCAAUACUUUUGGGGAAGGAGUGAGAUAAAGCCAGCUGGUGUCUUGGGGGUGUUAGGAAUGCUUUCCUGGGUAACCCUAUCUCCCAGGUAGCAUGCGUGCGUCUUCUCUCUCUCUUUUUUUUUUUCUUUGCCUUUUAAUGAAUUGGAACCUUAAAUAUUUGUGAUGCUGAUUUCUCCCAGAUGGUAUUUCAGAGUAAUUGAAACACUGCUGCCAUGGGGGUGGAUGGGAGGGAAACUCAAACAACUGUUCCAGUCUUGGCAGAAGGUAAGGGUGCUGGUCUGUAUUCUCCCAGUGGAGACAACGGUUAUUUUCUUCCUAAAAGGUUUUGAAUUGCAACGGGCUUGGGGGCCUGGCCGAGGGAAGGAGGAGGUGCCCGGAAAGCCCGUGUCAGUGGGAUAAAUGGACAGGGAUCUGGGGGGUGGCUUGUCCUAACCGGUACCUCUACACAGAGCUUGGCCCUAAGUGUCCCUCUGAAAGCCGCCUGUCCUCUGAAUGGAGCCAUUGGUCUCGAGUGGAAGGAGAGAUGAGGAGCUGGAAUCCCACCCUAGGGCUCUGAUGCUUUGCUUCUUCCAUCUUGUGGAGUCUCCACUCUGAGUCGGGACCCUCUGGAAUGAGGAGGAUGGGACAAAACUCGGUGCUUGAAGGCACCAGAGGGUAGAGGGGACUGUGAGUUGAAGCUGAGCCGGCAGAGUUUCUUGGUGGUGCUCAGGUGCAAGGCCAGGCUAGGAUGCAUCGUCCCGACAGAAGGGGCCUCCAGGGGCUUGCGUGGGAAGAGUAUGGGCAAUGCACGCGUUCUCUUCCUGACUCCCAAGGGUUUGUAUGCUUCUGGGGAGACGGGGAAACAGAAAAGUCACCAAGAAAUGGAGUGAUGAGAGGAUGCCAAACAAACGCUGCCUCUAAAGAAAUUAAGGGUGGUGUUGGGUCCUUAUGCAAGGAGGGGACAGAAUAUACAGCCUCGAUAGGACAGUGCCUGAGUCACGUGUGCUGCUCAAAGAGCUCCCCCGUGCAGACUCAGAUAAAGUGUUUCUGUGGGCACGGAGAGGCAUUCUUCCCAUGUGACUGGCCUCUGGGGACCUGGGGCUUUGUGGCUCAGGCAGUGGCUGCUUUGCUGCCGGGAGCCCGGAUGUGGUUUUGAGAAGGCUGGCCCUGUGAAGGGGUGUCAGCAGUCAUAGGUCAUGGGACUGGGCUUGUUGGGUCUGAGGAAACGGCCGUCUUUGUUGCUCUCUGGGUCCUGCCUCCCUUGGGCAGAAAAGGGGCUGGGAUUCUAGGAGGCGUGUGGGUGUGGGAUGACAGUUCAGUGGUGAGAAGGGGCUCUUGGCUCUUCUGAGGGGCUGGAUCUAUUGGGAAAUGGCAGGUCUUGGAGCCCGGAAAUUUUUGGUAAAGUGGAGAUUCAGAGGAGGAGAAGUUAACAUUUUUCUUUUUCUGUGUUAAGUUGGAGGAGUGACCGCUUCUGGCCAGGAAGGAACCUAUUCUUAGCCAUGUUGGGUCAGUGUGUGACCUGCAUCCUGGGCUGGGGCAGGAGUGAUCCGUGGAGCCACGAGUUCUGAUGGGAGGGUUUAUAUUAGGACUUGGUUAAACUGGACAGAGUUCCAGACCAGAAGAGAGAAACACAGUGCUGGUUUGACAUGGUUAUGUUGGGACUGGCUUCUCUUAGAUGGUCUUAUUUACCUAACCCCGGGGGGCGAGGGGAGGUGGCACUAUUUCUCUCUGGUGUCAGAGGAAGAUGGAAGCUUACUCAGGCACUGGUCUCUGUCUUUGCCUUCAGGUGGAAUAAAAUUCAAAGAUCAUUUAGAUCCUUAACUCAUUUCUCU